rnacentral:rRNA from 1 species
UACGGGAGGCACAGGGGGAAUAUUGCACAAUGGGCGCAAGCCUGAUGCAGCCAUGCCGCGUGUAUGAAGAAGGCCUUCGGGUUGUAAAGUACUUUCAGUCGUGAGGAAGGUGUUAAGGUUAAUAACCUUAGCAAUUGACGUUAGCGACAGAAGAAGCACCGGCUAACUCCGUGCCAGCAGCCGCGGUAAUACGGAGGGUGCGAGCGUUAAUCGGAAUUACUGGGCGUAAAGGGCACGCAGGCGGUUAAUUAAGUUGGAUGUGAAAUCCCCGGGCUUAACCUGGGAAUGGCAUUCAAGACUGGUUAGCUAGAGUCUUGUAGAGGGGGUAGAAUUCCAUGUGUAGCGGUGAAAUGCGUAGAGAUGUGGAGGAAUACCGGUGGCGAAGGCGGCCCCUGGACAAAGACUGACGCUCAUGUGCGAAAGCGUGGGGAGCAAACAGGGAUUAGAUACC